rnacentral:sRNA from 1 species
UAACGACUCCAGGAUCGUGCUCCAGGG